rnacentral:rRNA from 1 species
UACGGAGGGGGCUAGCGUUGUUCGGAAUUACUGGGCGUAAAGCGCACGUAGGCGGCUUUGUAAGUUAGAGGUGAAAGCCCGGGGCUCAACUCCGGAAUUGCCUUUAAGACUGCAUCGCUAGAAUUGUGGAGAGGUAAGUGGAAUUCCGAGUGUAGAGGUGAAAUUCGUAGAUAUUCGGAAGAACACCAGUGGCGAAGGCGACUUGCCAGAACGCGCUCGACGGUGAGGGAUGAAAGCUGGGGGGAGCAAACCGG